GGUCCUGUAGCUCAAUUGGCAGAGCAACUGACUCUUAAUCAGCAGGUUGAAGGUUCGAGUCCUUCCAGGAUCA
rnacentral:tRNA from 1 species